rnacentral:rRNA from 1 species
AAGCUCGUAGUAGAAGCUCGGGCUCCGGCCGACUGGUCCGCCUCACCGCGUGCACUGGUUCGGCCGGGCCUUCACCUUCUGCGGAACCGCAUCUCCUUCACUGGGGGUGUCGGGGAAACAGGACGUUUACUGUGAAAAAAUUAGAGUGCUCCAGGCAGGCCUAUGCUCGAAUAGAUUAGCAUGGAAUAAUGGAAUAGGACGUGUGGUCUUAUUUCGUUGGUUUCUAGGACCGCCGUAAUGAUUAAUAGGGACAGUCGGGGGCAUCAGUAUUCAAUCGUCAGAGGUGAAAUUCUUGGAUCGAUUGAAGACUAACUACUGCGAAAGCAUUUGCCAAGGAUGUUUUCAUUUAUCAGGAACGAAAGUUAGGGGAUCGAAGACGAUCAGAUACCGUCGUAGUCUUAACCAUAAACUAUGCCGACUAGGGAUCGGACGGUGUUAUUUCUUGACCCGUUCGG